GGUAUAAGAUCGGAGCAGUGCAUGCUGGUCGCGGUCCAACGGCCGUCGGGUCAACAGCACUCUGGAUUUACUACACUCGUUCCGGGCCGGAUUGUAUAAUAAAUAAUAACUUCGUGCCGUACAGUUAGACCCGACGAAGGAAAUACAAGAGUCAGUAGUAGAUAGAAGGGUAGAGGGAGCCAAAGGUAGACGAGAUAAGAUCAUCCUUUACUUCUUCUCCUCUCUUUAUAUUUUGAGAUCCUUUUUAUUCUGCUCAUCCAAGCGAUAGCAAUUUCGAUUCACGGCUCAGCAACGCCACUCGUUCAAUUGCUUUACUCGCCAGGACUUCUCGUUAUUAUUACUAACAAACGAAUCAAUUACUUGAGAAUGGUGAGGAUCCUUGCCAAAGAUAAAAUGCCUGGAAACACGAACCCUGGUUGAAAAAUUACGUCUACAGGAUUAGAGCACGUCGAAGAUAUUACAAGGAAGAUCCGCGUUGGUCCAGGAGGUUAAGGUUACAGAAGACUACAAAAGUAUAUCAUGAUAGUAAUCAUAAUUGACCUGGAACACGUAGGUACUGAGGUACCUGACUGUCUUUGAGAAGUAUGAAAUUUUUUAUUUCAAAAAAAAAAGGUACAAGCUUGAAAUUCCAAGAUCGUCUAACGCCCAAGACACUUUCUUCGCCAAUAAAUCCUAAGGGUUAGAUCUGUCUGAGAUAUUUUUCAUUUCUAGUGGUGAUACAUCAUUCUCCAGUAACUCGUGAUAGCUCUUAGUCCACGGCGAACGACGAGAAAAAAAUUCACCGUAUUAUCAAUACAGUUUUGUAUGAAUGAGAGGACGGAUUUUUUUUGGUCAUUUCCAGUCUGCCUAUUCAACUAACGAAGUGUAAUAUAAUCGACGUUAAAUUAACUAACCAACCGAUAAGAUUCUAACGGCACGUCCACACAUGGAGUUAAAGUGUGAGAUUCCUCUUGGAAAAUUUUUUUCUGUAUCCACAAUCGGAAGACUCGCACGACGAUUUAUGGAAAUUAAUCGAAAACCGGCCCUGUACGUAUUAAACUAUUUUCUCUUUUCAAUAACACAUUAUACAUUGCAGAUCCCUACCUUUCGGAAUAGCCAUAAUUAAUUCCCACAGUAACCAGCUAUACAUAUAACGACUCUAUUAAAGAUAGCUGAGAACUGAAUGUCAAUUAAUAAAGUAUCAUUGAACAUUCCAUUAGAAUUAAUUAAACACGUGAGAAGAGUGCUGCUCAAUUACGUUUACAUUAAUACUCGAA